UCUUCCUAAGGAUACCUCCACUGAUGAAGAUGGCCUGAAAGUUUGAACAAUGCAUCCUUUUUCUGCAUAAGAUGGCAG